UUUCACAUAACAAUAUCAAAUAUCAGUCAUUAGUAGUUUUAAUACUGUGUUACCAUUUUCCUAUAUGCCUUUAUAUGAUGUCAAAAUCAGUUGAACCAUUAAACGCAUUUUAUCAUUACGGAUUUUAAACGUGUCAUAUAUUUAUAAAUUUUUCAAGACACUUUGAUAUGCAGUGUUAAAGUUAAUUUAGAAACGAGAUUUGUAAUGACCAACCAUAGAGGUUAGCUAGAAAAAAAAUAUCCUAUAGAAGGGGAAUUUGUUAUCGUAUACUUCUGUGAGCUGUCUGUGAUUUUCAUCAAAGUUCAUAUAAUGUGAGAAAGUUCGUGUUCACUAUUAUAUUUAUUUUAAGAUAAAAGUCUUGUGUCAAUGGAAAGAAUCGAGGUAUUCAUUGAGACUCACAGUGAAUGAUUUUACAUUAAAAAUUAAGAUAAUUGACAAUUCUUUUCUAAUGUUCAAUUUGUUCAUACAGAUGUCUGAUCAAAAAAAUUUGGUAACGCGACAAUGUCCUAGAUAAAUAUUUUAAUGGCGAUUAGAUAAUAUAAUAGGUGAAGUAAAUUGCAAAUAUUUUUUUUCAAACA